UACGUAGGGUGCAAGCGUUAAUCGGAAUUACUGGGCGUAAAGCGUGCGCAGGCGGUUCUAUAAGACAGGUGUGAAAUCCCCGGGCUCAACCUGGGAACUGCAUUUGUGACUGUAGAGCUGGAGUACGGUAGAGGGGGAUGGAAUUCCGCGUGUAGCAGUGAAAUGCGUAGAUAUGCGGAGGAACACCGAUGGCGAAGGCAAUCCCCUGGACCUGUACUGACGCUCAUGCACGAAAGCGUGGGGAGCAAACAGG
rnacentral:rRNA from 1 species